rnacentral:rRNA from 1 species
UACGGAGGGUGCAAGCGUUAUCCGGAUUUACUGGGUGUAAAGGGUGCGUAGGCGGGCUAUUAAGUCAGUGGUGAAAUCCCGGGGCUCAACCUCGGAACUGCCAUUGAUACUAUUAGCCUUGAAUUAUGUUGAGGUUGGCGGAAUAUAACAUGUAGCGGUGAAAUGCUUAGAUAUGUUAUGGAACACCGAUUGCGAAGGCAGCUGGCUGAACAUAUACUGACGCUGAUGCACGAAAGUGUGGGUAGCAAACAGG